GCGCACUUAGCUUUUUUCGGUCAAAGCAUCACUCCUGAAGUUUGAGGUUGCGGGUUUGAGUCCCGUAGUGCACA
rnacentral:tRNA from 1 species